GCCAAAGUGGUGUAGUGGUUUGAGCAUUGGACUAUGGCUCUGAAGACCAGGGUUCGAUUCCCCGUUUGAGCC